rnacentral:rRNA from 1 species
AGUAAAAGUCGUAACAAGGUCUCCGUAGGUGAACCUGCGGAGGGAUCAUUACACAAAUAUGAAGGCGGGCUGGAACCUCUCGGGGUUACAGCCUUGCUGAAUUAUUCACCCUUGUCUUUUGCGUACUUCUUGUUUCCUUGGUGGGUUCGCCCACCACUAGGACAAACAUAAACCUUUUGUAAUUGCAAUCAGCGUCAGUAACAAAUUAAUAAUUACAACUUUCAACAACGGAUCUCUUGGUUCUGGCAUCGAUGAAGAACGCAGCGAAAUGCGAUAAGUAGUGUGAAUUGCAGAAUUCAGUGAAUCAUCGAAUCUUUGAACGCACAUUGCGCCCUUUGGUAUUCCAAAGGGCAUGCCUGUUCGAGCGUCAUUUGUACCCUCAAGCUUUGCUUGGUGUUGGGCGUCUUGUCUCUAGCUUUGCUGGAGACUCGCCUUAAAGUAAUUGGCAGCCGGCCUACUGGUUUCGGAGCGCAGCACAAGUCGCACUCUCUAUCAGCAAAGGUCUAGCAUCCAUUAAGCCUUUUUUCAACUUUUGACCUCGGAUCAGGUAGGGAUACCCGCUGAACUUAAGCAU